rnacentral:sRNA from 1 species
AAAAAAUAAGUGUACAAGGUCUCACAUUGUUUAAAAAAUUUGGGAAAUCAUUUAGAGUCAUACUAUAAAAAGGACCAAAAUGAUUCUGAAUACGAAUGAGCAGGAACCUUCAUUUAUCAGACAUCCAAAAUUAAAAGUGUUAUUCGGUUUACUCCAGUUAUUUAUUUUAAACAACAAA